rnacentral:lncRNA from 1 species
GUUUUAUUCUUCAUUCCUUUGUUCAUGAUGCUUUCUUGGAUGAAACUACCCUUUUCUACCAAUUCCCAAUAUUACUUUGUAAUCUCCCUUAGCCUUCAGAAAUCAGUAAAGAAAUAAUAGUAUAGGAAAAAAAAAAAAAAAAAACAAGAGAAAAGCAAAACAAUAGGUAGGAUGAGGUUUGAUUUUAAUUAGAGUGGGUGAGGGUAGAGCUCACUGGAAAAGUAGUACAUAAGCAAAAACAAAUGGAAGCAGGGUGCUAGUGUGUGGGUGAGGGAAACUUGCCCUUUGCCCUCUGAAGUUUUGAUAACUGAGUCUGUCAGGAUAAAUCAACAAUAGAGACAUUAAUGGGAGUCAAAGGCACAGCAAUUUAUUCUACCAACAGCACAGGAAAGAGAACCCUAACAUUGGGAAUGAGGACUCUGGAGGACACGUACUUGAGACCACGGAGAAGAGAGUGUCCAGCGAGCAGGCCUUGCCAGCAGGAGGUAACUAACGGCAGGUGGGCUGUGGAGCAGAGCUGAGCGGAAGCCAAGA